UUAAAUAGUGGUUUUUCCUGAGAUCCGCUGCAAAUCAAUUACUUCGCAUUUUACAUUUACUCUAAGCCCUAUUUCCUUAGCCGCCCCAAGUCAUUUAUUUCUCUCUCUCUCUUCCCACAUUCAUCUUUUCUCACUCACCUCUACCGACCCUCUCUCUCUCACUGGUAUCCUCACCGACGGUUAUGAUUGCUCACUGACCUCACCGACGAUUCUAGUUUCUAACUGCACAACUUCAACUAUCUCACUCACCCUUGUUGGCGUUGGGGUCUAGGUUCAAUCAAAAUCUUACGCUCAUCUCAACCUUGUAUAUUAUUCCCAAAGCUAAGAUAGCUGAAAUGGCUUUAUGUUUGUGGGGGAGGAGAAAUGGAGGACAUAGAAUGUUUUUAAGGGAACCAGAUGAGUAGGAUUUGAGAGCAUUGGACUUGUGGGAUGGAAGGAUAAUGGAAAACUGAGAUUUAGAGAUAAUGAAUAAUAAAACCGAUCUAGAUAGAUAUGAUCCAUGCAGAUGCUACUCCACCAAUGAAGGAACAUUAAGCUAAUCAUUUGUUCUUCUCGCCUUCAUCUUUUUUUGUUUUCCCAAGAUAUAUGGAUAAUAUUUGUUGCAUAUGGUAAAUUUAAGACUUCUUUUUAAAAACAAAUUUAACUUGGGAUAUUUGCUAAUCAUAUGUAGGAUAAAAGCUACAAAUUGAUAAUGUCAAAUGAUGAAGCAAAUUUUAACAUAGGUGUUGGUGCUGCUUGUGUUGUUGCUACCUACUAUUGCUGCCCGAUUAACGCCACAACUGUUGCUGCGCCAGAUUAACACCAGUGUUGCUGUUGUCUUCUGUUACUCCUUUGAUCAUCAGAUUUUAGAGUUUGUAAUAUUAACAGCGGCUUUAUGUUAUGCUGCUGCAAUGUCUAAUGUUGUCCAUUUUUUUAUUUUAUUUUUUUUAGAGGUGUAAUUUUACAGGAACUUAUGGAAAUAUUUAAGUUUAUAUAUAAAAUAUAUAGGUCUUUGAGUAUCAA